rnacentral:lncRNA from 1 species
GUUUGGUCUGAUUUUCCUUUCUGCUCUGACAGAACAGCACGGAGUUCAGUGAUUCAUAAUUCUUGCGUUCUCCCUCCCGCAGCACCCGGAGAGGCUCUCUGCAUCAUGCCACCACUGACGAGGGUGGGGGAGAGGUGGUGUUGGUGACUCAAGACUGUUUUUUUCUAUCUCUUCAGUGCAUGUUUUCAGUGAUAUGAAGUUAAAACCAGAUACUAUAAGUGUUCACCUGAUUUUUGGUUCUUAUAAAGGUGUUUUUUUCUGUGUAGAUAAUUGUUAACUUGGCGUCCUUGUAGAGGGAAGGGUGGAGCUUUUUAUUCCACCAUCUUGCUCCACCUCCCACUCUGGGUCCAUCCAAUCAUACAAUUACUUUUACUUUCUGACAGCAUCUAAUCCAGAGCCAUCCUCCACUUUAAAUCCUCAUUUUUCAAGCCUCAGAUGAAUCAUCUCUUCUGCCCAAGGAUAGGAGUUACCAUCAUUACCUCACAGUGAGGAAACAGGGUAGGAGAGUGGUGUGAUUUGCUCAAGAUUGCACACUUGAAGAACCUGGAUUUGAACUCAAAAGUUCUGACUGCAAAGUCCAAGAUUCCUCCCACUGUACCACAACCACCUGGAAGUUGAACUUGUCACAACAUGCUAGCGACUUUCUGUUUCAGCUCUGAAGUUCUCCUGGAACUCUAGGAUAGUGACCUUACAGCCCCAUGGUAUUCAUUGACAUGAAAUCAGUCUAUGGAAUGAAGAUGAGGAUGAGGAAAGCCGUAGUCACUAAAAGUAAAUUAUUAUUGUGUAUAUAAAUGACUAGACUAUGGCAAGCAUCAAAGGGAAGAUUCCUGCAUAUAAUAAUAGUUUACAAGAUAUUAAAAUGUCAUAUUAGGCUCCAUUUAUAUUCCCUAAAUGGUACUCCAGAAAUGUAUAAAUGUUGUCAGUUGCUGGUUCCUAACUGUUUACCUGAGUUGGUGGAAUUUGCAAGGGUAGUUAAUAUCACACGAGUGUUUUUAAAAUGGCCUUAGAAAAAGGGAGUCUCUUUCUGCUUCAUUCUGUUUGGAGCUGAUUGUUUUCACACCUAAGAGUUUUAGUGUUCAUUGAAUUCCACUUUUUGUGCUUGAGUAUUAGUUCAUUGUCUUUUCAUGUAAUCCUUUGUACCCAUUCUGUAUUUCUUUGAAGUUUUGCUUCACAGCUCUUUGUGCUAUUACUUAGAUUCUUCCUUAAAUGAAGCAAAUUGGUCAGUGAAACUUAUAACUCAUUUACUAAAACCAUUAGCUUUCAGUGAGUUGAAAAUGAUGAGUUCUAUUACCUAAGUCUAUUUUAUCACUGCCCAGAAAACUGACUGUGUUAAAACCUACUAUCCUUAAGCAUCAUUUAUUAAUGAAUAUUUUUAACAGAACACAAUGAAUGCACU